ACGCCCGGGAAUUACGAGCUUAAGCUUAAAACCCAAAGGACUUGACGGUGUCCCACCCGCCUAGAGGAGCCUGUCCUAUAAUCGAUACCCCCCGCUAUACCUCACCACUCCUUGCUCUCAGCCUGUAUACCUCCGUCGUAAGCCUACCAUGUGAACGCUUAGUAGGCCCAACGGUCACUCACCAAUACGUCAGGUCAAGGUGCAGCCUAUGAAGUGGUAGUGAUGGGCUACAAUUCCUAACCUAGCACAAACGGAAAGCUGCAUGAAACACAGCAUAAAGGUGGAUUUAGUAGUAAAAAGAGACCAGUGUGUUUUUUUUAAUACGGCCCUGGGACGGU
rnacentral:rRNA from 1 species